rnacentral:rRNA from 1 species
UACGUAGGGUGCGAGCGUUAAUCGGAAUUACUGGGCGUAAAGAGUGCGUAGGCGGUUCUUGAAGUCCGCUGUGAAAGCCCCGGGCUUAACCUGGGAAUGGCAGUGGAAACUGGGGGACUUGAAUUGAGCAGAGGGUGGUGGAAUGCCGCGUGUAGCAGUGAAAUGCGUAGAGAUGCGGCGGAACACCGAUGGCGAAGGCAGCCCCCUGGGCUUAAAUUGACGCUGAGGCACGAAAGCGUGGGGAGCAAACAGG